UCCAUCGUGAGGUGGAAUCUGAAGGAAGCUGAUGACGUAACAAGUGUUGUGACGAACAGGAACUGAAUCAGGCUGUUGCCUCAGGGCAAUCCGGCGAUUGACGGAGACGCCCAAUAAUCGACCGCUAGAAGCAGCAGUAUAUUCAGCACGACCUUGGGAAAGAACUGUGU
rfam:Gammaproteobacteria bacterium RIFCSPHIGHO2_12_FTLL_42_10 rifcsphigho2_12_scaffold_15657, whole genome shotgun sequence.